UACGUAGGGCGCAAGCGUUGUCCGGAAUUAUUGGGCGUAAAGAGCUCGUAGGCGGCUUGUCACGUCGGGUGUGAAAGCCCGGGGCUUAACCCCGGGUCUGCAUUCGAUACGGGCUAGCUAGAGUGUGGUAGGGGAGAUCGGAAUUCCUGGUGUAGCGGUGAAAUGCGCAGAUAUCAGGAGGAACACCGGUGGCGAAGGCGGAUCUCUGGGCCAUUACUGACGCUGAGGAGCGAUAGCGUGGGGAGCGAACAGG
rnacentral:rRNA from 1 species